rnacentral:ncRNA from 1 species
GCGCUCUGGAGAAUCCCAUAUAGGUGGGUGCCGAAGGUGAAAGUGGCCGCUGGCCAUGAAUCUCUCAGGCGAAAGGACAGGGUU